rnacentral:rRNA from 1 species
CACGUAGGGCGCAAGCGUUGUCCGGAAUUAUUGGGCGUAAAGAGCUCGUAGGCGGUCUGUUGCGUCUGCUGUGAAAACUCGGGGCUUAACCCCGAGCCUGCAGUGGAUACGGGCAGACUAGAGGUAGGUAGGGGAGAAUGGAAUUCCUGGUGUAGCGGUGAAAUGCGCAGAUAUCGGGAGGAACACCGGUGGCGAAGGCGGCGCUCUGGGCCGGUACUGACGCUGAGGAGCGAAAGCGUGGGUAGCAAACAGG